CACCAGCGUAAGAACAGUCUAAGGAUCCUCCUGAACUACUACCCUUUGCAAUUGGACAUUUUCCACUGUCACACACCAAUUUUUGCCUGUGUACCACGACACUUUUUACGUCAACACCCUUUGCAAUUGGACAUUUCCACUGUCACACAUCAACUUUGCCCGUGUACCACGACACUUUGACGUCGACAACAGCAUAGACGACACCAACAGCUCCGGUUCUCUUCCACAACGAGCCGACUACACCUUCCUACAUUCGGGAAUUCUACAACUAAAAAUGUAAGCAUGUUUUAAAGGCUAGCAUCCUGUAAGCCCUGGCACCCCAACCGUAUACAAUGCGCCCAUGCCCCGUGUGAAUCGUCAGGGGGACGAUACGGCGGCUUCCAGCGCGUAUACGUAAUAAGGCUCGUUUCACGUACUCGAUAAACGUCUUUAAUAUUUGGGGACCUUUCAGCGGUUCUUGGCCUUACUGGCGGCAAAAAUGGACCACGGAGACGUGAUGUAUCCUGGCCAAGUCAGCUUAGCCCUCCCGUUAGCUGUUUAGGAAACCAAAUAUUCUGUUUGGCGUAAUCGAUAAACGCUACCGCUAUGCCGGGUCUGGUUUGACCAGUAACCCUUCGUAGUGUGUUUUCAAACCAC